GGGGCUCCGCCGCCGCUGCCGGGGAGCGGAGCCGGGCAGCAGCCGCGGGAGAACGUGCCAGCGAGCCGGGCUAGGGGCAGAGCCGCCGCCGUCCCUCCCUCCCUAGGAAUCCCAAGCGGCCGGAGGGUGGAGCCGCGGCCCCCGGAGCGAGCUGCUCCCCCGGCUGUGUGGCGCGGGGAGGAGGAAAGGCAGCGGCGGCAGCAGGGAGCCCGCGCUGCAAGGAGCCGCCGCCGCCGCUUCAUCCUGCGGCACCGGGAGGCAAAGAGGAGCCCGGGCGUGCGCAGGUGGCAGUGUAGAAGCCAAGAACAAAAACUGACAGAAGUUACUAUUCUCUAUAAGAAAAAGAAGAGUGUACACAUGACUAAUCACAGGAACCUGAAAAACCACAGGAAUGAAAUGCUGAUAGCUCCUUACUUUGGAGAGUGACUGAAAGAAAACAGAUCAUUCAUACAGUAUACAACAAAGGCAUUUUAUAAUCUGAUUUGUCUAGCUGUGAUGAAGAAUUUUAGUUAAUGGAAGCUGCAGCAGUCUGUCACCAGGAAAUAUACUGCUUUAUUCAGAAUGGGUCCCAGGAGGUGUUGCGGAAGGGCAAAGGAGGCUGGACAUCUCCUCUACACUCUCACAACUCCUGCAGUUCCUAGGGCUAGGCAACUUUUCCAACUCGCCUCCAUGUGCAAUGACUUCCAAGGGGUAGCUGUGGCAGCUCGGGACUGCUGGAGCACACUGCACUCUGACCAUGCCUUCCUCCCCUUACAAACCUACUGCGGGAUGGUACGGAGCCAGCAAUACCAGUUCUACACCCCCUGGAAUUCUCCUACACCAGAGCUUGAAGGCUCUUUUGUGCUGCUAGAAAAACCUAAAGCAGCCUUAUCAGGGCUGAGCAGCCACCCCCUUGUCUUCGUCCUCACCUGCAAAGCAUCUAGCCUGCUAUGAAUUCAACCCUGUAAGGUUCUGAGCAAAUGAAAUCAAUUUUAUUAUUACUGACACAUGCGUACACACACACACACACACUCUGGUUAUUGUGUCAUUGACUUCUAUAGGACCAGGAUCUCAUGCCUAGAAUACUCCCAAGUCCUGUUAAAUACUGAUUAUUAAAUAAUCUGUGCACCUGGAGCUUUUGCCUGCCCUGGCUAUGAAGGAGUUAAAGAUUUGUAUACAACAAAAUGAAAAGGGCUGUUUAAAAUUCUCCUUCCAGUGCAAGUCAUCACUCCCCAUAUGAAACUCUUCCCCUGCAAAAAGGAUGCAUCUCCCUGCCGAGCACAGGAAAAAAUGUAACAUGAAAUUCAAUCCUUUCCUGAUUGGACAGGAGAUGAGGAGAGGACAAGGGAGAACAGCAUGAUGAGGAAGUUCUGUCAUUUCCAGAAGGAAGCAUGAGUCACUGUGCAGAGCAUUUUUGGGAGCCUGAAUCAGAGCUGUCGAGGAAGUCAGUUCUUGGACAGUUUUAAUGUUUGGUUUAACUGUGACUUUUCCAGUGAGCUGCUUGCCUCUGUGUGAAGACUGUAGAUAUCAAAAGCUCAGAUUACACGCCACUAAAGAACAAGAAAUAGGACAGACAAGAGAGCCCCAGAGUGAGUGAAAGCUCAAUAGAAGUAUUUACAAGGCAAGAUAAUUUGAUGUACAUUUGGAAAAAAAUAUAAAAUAAAAUUAGAAAAUGCACCAGAAGUACUGCUUUUCAUGCUAUAUCCCAGCACUUGCUACGGCAAUAAAUUGGCAAACCCCACAGUAUAGAAAAAAAGUAUUGU